rnacentral:rRNA from 1 species
UACAGAGGUCCCAAGCGUUGUUCGGAUUCACUGGGCGUAAAGGGUGCGUAGGCGGUUCGGUAAGUCUGGCGUGAAAUCUCCGAGCUCAACUCGGAAACGGCGACAGAUACUAUCGAGCUUGAGGGUUUGAGGGGGAGCUGGAAUUCUCGGUGUAGCAGUGAAAUGCGUAGAUAUCGAGAGGAACACCAGUGGCGAAGGCGAGCUCCUAGAUAACUUCUGACGCUGAAGCACGAAAGCCAGGGGAGCAAACGGG